GGCUUGUUGGUCUAGGGGAAUGAUUCUCGCUUUGGGUCUGGCAGGUCCUGGGUUCAAAUCUUAGAAGAGACC
rnacentral:tRNA from 1 species